rnacentral:misc_RNA from 1 species
UCCAGCUCAUCGCUGGCAGUUCCAAUAGAGUGCUCAGCAUCCUUACGGACCUGGUGGCAACUAUUAGUGAUGGUUGCGCUCGUUAUGGCACUUAAGCCAACACCUCACGGCACGAGCUGACGACAGCCAUGCAGCACCUGUAUAGAAUCCCGGACUGGUUACGGGUCGUCCCCCUUUCAGGUUCCUACUCUCUAUAUGUCAAGCCUGGGUAAGGUUCUUCGCGUAGCAUCGAAUUGAACCACAUGUUCCACCGCUUGUGCUGGCCCCCGUCAAUUCCUUUGAGUUUCAACCUUGCGGUCGUAGUCCUCAGGUGGGACACUUAACGGGUUUCCUACGGCACUGAUUCCUAAAGGAACCAACACCUAGUGUCCAUCGUUUACGGCUAGGACUAC